rnacentral:rRNA from 1 species
UACGUAUGGAGCAAGCGUUAUCCGGAUUUACUGGGUGUAAAGGGAGUGUAGGCGGCAUUAUAAGUCUGAUGUGAAAACUCAGGGCUCAACCUUGAGAUUGCAUUGGAAACUGUAAAGCUAGAGUGUCGGAGAGGUAAGCGGAAUUCCUGGUGUAGCAGUGAAAUGCGUAGAUAUCAGGAAGAACAUCGGUGGCGAAGGCGGCUUACUGGACGAUAACUGACGCUGAGGCUCGAAAGCGUGGGGAG